rnacentral:rRNA from 1 species
GACGAACGCUGGCGGCGUGCCUAAUACAUGCAAGUAGAACGCUUAAGGAGGAGCUUGCUUCUCUGGAUGAGUUGCGAACGGGUGAGUAACGCGUAGGUAACCUGCCUGGUAGCGGGGGAUAACUAUUGGAAACGAUAGCUAAUACCGCAUAACAGUAGAUAUCGCAUGAUAUCUACUUGAAAGGUGCAAUUGCAUCACUACCAGAUGGACCUGCGUUGUAUUAGCUAGUUGGUGAGGUAACGGCUCACCAAGGCGACGAUACAUAGCCGACCUGAGAGGGUGAGCGGCCACACUGGGACGGAGACACGGCCCAGACCCCUACGGGAGGCAGCAGUAGGGGAGCUUCGGCAAUGGACGGAAGGCUGACCGAGCAACGCCGCGUGAGUGAAGAAGGUUGUCGGAUCGUAAAGCUCUGUUGUAAGAGAAGAACGAGUGUGAGAGUGGAAAGUUCACACUGUGACGGUAUCUUGCCAGAAAGGGACGGCUAACUACGUG